rnacentral:rRNA from 1 species
GGGCCCGCACAAGCGGUGGAGCAUGUGGUUUAAUUCGACGCAACGCGCAGAACCUUACCAGCCCUUGACAUCCCGGUCGCGGACUCCAGAGACGGAGUUCUUCAGUUCGGCUGGACCGGAGACAGGUGCUGCAUGGCUGUCGUCAGCUCGUGUCGUGAGAUGUUGGGUUAAGUCCCGCAACGAGCGCAACCCCCGUCCUUAGUUGCUACCAUUUAGUUGAGCACUCUAAGGAGACUGCCGGUGAUAAGCCGCGAGGAAGGUGGGGAUGACGUCAAGUCCUCAUGGCCCUUACGGGCUGGGCUACACACGUGCUACAAUGGCGGUGACAAUGGGAAGCGAAGACGCAAGUCCUAGCAAAUCUCAAAAAGCCGUCUCAGUUCGGAUUGGGCUCUGCAACUCGAGCCCAUGAAGUUGGAAUCGCUAGUAAUCGUGGAUCAGCACGCCACGGUGAAUACGUUCCCGGGCCUU